AUUUCUGUCAUUUCACUAUUUGCAACAUCUCUUUUCUCCCUCGUAUCUUCUAUCUUCUUUCUUGUCAUAUGGAACGAAAUACUUAGAUUUGAUCUAAUGAUGUUUCUUCCUUCUCUCUUUACUUCUCUGUCUUCAGAUUUGGCUUCGAUGCCGUCUUUAGAUCUGGUUUCGCAUUUCUUCGUUUUCAUCUUUACUUCUCUGUCUUCAGAUUUGGCUUCGAUGCCGUCUUUAGAUCUGGUUUCGCAUUUCUUCGUUUCCGCCAGUUCCAUCGGCAUUGAAACCUGAUCUAGAUCCUUAGAUCUAUAGAUCUAGCCCUUCACAUAUCUAUAGAUCUACAUUUAUGGUGGUACUCUUCUUGCAUUUUUUUAGAACCAUUCACAGAUCUAUAGAUCUACCGAUCUGGAUUCGUGUCUUUUGCCCUUGCCACUCCAAACAAUCUCUUCUUUAGCUACUCCAAAUCUUUGAUUCCCUUUUCUACUUUAUUCUAUCUUCUCACUCUAUCGAAACAGGCCCUAAUUUGUUUGGAUGACGGACGAUUGUGCUUGGUGGGGGCGGAAGUUAUCAUUUGGAGAGUGGUAGGGUGUGAAGGACAAGUUCAGGAGCUUGGUAGGGGGAGGUUCGAAGGUUGGUCUUGUUACGAAUCAGCUGCAUCAAACGCUGUCUACCAAUUUUCUCUUGAUGAGGUGGACUAUUAGCAUACUCGGGCAUUGCAUGAGGUCCGUUAACAUGAAUAUAGUAAUUUGGACGAAUAUUCAUAUAUUCUUAAUUAUAGUUGUUUGUAUGAUGAAAAUAGAAAUAUAUGUUUGUUUCAUAUUUAUAGCUGUUUGGAGUAAUUUAUAGUUGAUUGGAUGAAUUUAUAGUUGGGUGACUGUUUUAUAAAUCUUGUUUAUGUUUGGAUGAAUAACAUUACUUUAUACUUGUUGCGAUGUUUGGGUGAUUGACAAUAAUAAUAUUUAAAAAAAAAAGUAAUAUAAAAAAUC